ACCCACACAGUUUCCCCUGAAAGUUUAAUGUUAAAGUAAAACAGUUCUGUGCAAUGUUUUUUUUCCAGUUGAAGUAUCAUUGGCUUCCUGACUGAUGUGCUUUGGGACGUUUUGACGACUUUUUGACGAGAUCAUAGCAACUAAUGAUCUCAUAAACAUCUCUAAUGUAGAAUGUGUGUGUGGAUCAAGAGUGAGUGACAAUCUGGAUAUUUUAAGCAACGUAGCUACUAGCUAGAUACUUUCAAGGAAAGUGAAGAAACUUUUUCAGAGAACUCAUCAACUGUGUCCUCACACAAGAUGCCAGUCGCAGAUCAUUUCCUAAGCUCUUCUUGUGCCAUGCGUCGGAUAUUAUAUCUCAUGUUGUUGGUCUAUUGGUCUAGAUGCUUGUUGGUCGAAUAACGGGUCAUGUGGUAAUGUUAUCUUGGGCAGAGGGUCUGUUGUAGGAUCUGGUCUCCAUGGAGCAGUACAAAGCUAUGCCCCCUCAUACAGCUCUGAGCAGUAAACCACUGCUUUGCUGUUUCUUAGUAAAAGACCGUCCUCUGCUGAAAGAAUAUUUAAUUUGUUUUUAUUCAGCAAGUAGACAGUAAAAACAUGUAUAUCCACGCACUGACAGUGCAUUUUACUUUGCAUGAAAGCAUGAAGGGCCAUGAAAUAACAGAGAUUUACUAUAACAAGUGAUACUGUGGUUGGAUGAAAUCUUUUGAUGGUCACUACUGAUAACUACACUAAUCCUGGUCAUGCCCCAUAUUAACAUUUCCAUUAAAAAGUCUGUCAUUUCUUGAGUCCCUGAAUACUCCCAGAUACCUGGCUUGUGCUUCCAAUUGAGAUGUGACGCAGUCUACCUUUCCCCUCAUUCGUUAAUGUGCAAGGGUGAGGUCAUCCACAUUUUCAUAUACAACACCAAGCAUCUAGUUGUCAAGUAGCUAUUUAAAGUCCUGGCUGAAGCUGAGGACAGAACCCUGCUCCCUGGCUCUCUUCACAUGCUUCUGUUUGUGGGGAGGCGGGUGGGGCUUGGGAUUAGUCAUCAGUUUUAAGAACCAGGCCCUGAGAGGCGAAGCAGUUGCUUUUAUCUCCAUUGUUGGGGUGAAAUGCUCUGGGCGAAAGGGAAAAGAGACAAAGAGACUUGAAUGUUAUGAAUGGGGUUGUUGUUGUUGUUCCAGGGUCGGACCAUUAUUGGGUCGAGAUGCCUAACCUUUGGUUUGAUAAAACUAUAGAGUAUGCGUCUAUUUUAGGCACCCGUACUUCGGUGGCGAAAAAGUCCAAGCUAUUAUUAAGGCCAUCUUGUUGAUGUGGCCGUACGGGCAUCCACUGUUGACAGUCAGGUUGCUGUCGUUUUAUCUAAGUCAUAAAACACUUUAGCCCUCAGCUUUAUGUAGUGUGUGUGUGUGUGUGUGUGUGUGUGUGUGUGUGUGUGUGUGUGUGUGUGUGUGUGUGUGUGUGUGUGUGUGUGUGUGUGUGUGUGUGUGUGUGUGUGUGUGUGAGAGUUUGUUU